UUUUGGUUCAAUGUUUAUUUUAAUUUGAUUUUGGUGUUAUUUGCAGCUGGAGUUAACACCUUUUGUGGUGGCGGGGAUUGAGUUCAGUAAGAGAAUUAUAGCACAAAGAAGAUGUGAAGAAUGUGGAGGAUCAGGAAUUGUUGUGAGAGAAAAGGACUAUUUUCGUUGCCCUGGCUGUGGAGGAUUUCUACCAUGGCAGUCUUGGAAAAGAUUCUUCUCUGGUUAAUUUUCUUUUGAGCAAAUUACUAUAACACUCCUCACAUUUAAUAUAAUUUAUAGUUUAAUCCUUCUUGUUUGAAGAUUGAAUUAUAUAGCCCCUCAUUUUUAUUUUUGUCAACGAUUUAGUCUUUCUGUCCAUUUUGGAUGUUAGUUAACAAAGUCAACGAAACUAUAUGGUCCUCCACUUUUGUUUUUCUCAACGAUUUCACCCCUCACUUUUGUUUUUGUCAACAAUUUAGUCCCUCAGUUUUGAUAAUUAAUUUACCCAUAAGUCCUUUAACUUUGUUGACUAACACUAAAAAUGGAUGGAAUGACUAAAAUGUUGACGGUAGCAAGGGCCACAUAGUUUAGUUUUCAAACAGGAAGGAUUAAAGUGUGAAUUAUGUCAAAUGUGAGGGGUUUCAUAAUAAUUUGCUCUUUUCUUUUUACCUUGUCAACCAAUUGUAUUUGUAUAUAAUAUUUACGAUUUAUAUAAACUUUGUCCGCUGCGUCAUCA